rnacentral:lncRNA from 1 species
AUGCAACCUAAAAGUAACCAACUCCCCCCACGCGAAGGUUCCUAUCGGUCGACGGGCUGUGGGUGUAUUGCUCAGUGACGGCUUCGUUUAGUUUCUCCCAGCACCCAUAAUUCAAAGCAAGAACAACGACAUUAUGGGGAGAAAACGUCCUUUUGUGAAACAGAAGGCAAUCCACACCAUUAGUAAACCCCAUCAAUUUUGCCUUCAGAAUAUAUCCAGAUUCUUCCCAAUUCUACCGCCACCAUUCUGGUUCAAGCUACCUGUAGAGACGGGGUUUCACCAUGUUAGCCAGGAUGGUCUCGAUCUUCUGACCUCGUGAUCCGUCCGCCUCAGCCUUCCAAAGUUCUGGGAUUACAGACGUGAGCCACCGCGCCCGGCCAAAAGAUCCAUAAACUUUGAGUCACCAGAUAGAGCUAACAUUUACCACAGAGGCAUGUAAAGAAAACGAUUCUAGCAGAGUAACUAUAAUACAAAAGAACAAUAUUCCAAUUAUGUUCCUAUGUUCUAUCCAGGAAGGUUUAAGAGGAGCCUUUUAAACUGAACUAUAUUCUAAGAGGUGGGAAAAAGUUUUCUUUUGUUUUUCUUAUUAACCGUACCUUGAAAGCCCCAAAUAAAUGUUCCUUGGUUUAGAUGCCCUGGUAGAUGACCAAAAAAGUUUGACCAGUUAUCAAAAUCUACAAAGACUAUAUGAGUCAUGGUUCGCAGGUAAUCCAAAUCUGGAAGCUCAACAAUUUCUUCCUCUGAGAAGAGAGAAAUAUCAACAUGAGUUCAGUAAGAAUUUGCUAAAAUCAUUCUGAUUUCAAGUCCAAAAAGUAUUAGAAGCCUAAUAUGCAAAAAUACUAACCUUGAAUGUUACUCAUUUCUAUCUAAACCUUUUUGUGAAAUCCAAAUCUGUACAUGACACCAUUUACACUUAAAUCAGAUAAAAAUAAUCUGAACAUUUCA